rnacentral:rRNA from 1 species
CGCUGGCGGCGUGCCUAAUACAUGCAAGUCGAGCGGAAUGAUGAAGAAGCUUGCUUCUUCUGAUUUUAGCGGCGGACGGGUGAGUAACACGUGGGCAACCUACCUUGUAGAUUGGGAUAACUCCGGGAAACCGGGGCUAAUACCGAAUAAAUCCAUUUUGCUUCAUGGCGAGAUGUUGAAAGACGGUUUCGGCUGUCACUAUAAGAUGGGCCCGCGGCGCAUUAGCUAGUUGGUAGGGUAAUGGCCUACCAAGGCGACGAUGCGUAGCCGACCUGAGAGGGUGAUCGGCCACACUGGGACUGAGACACGGCCCAGACUCCUACGGGAGGCAGCAGUAGGGAAUCUUCCACAAUGGACGAAAGUCUGAUGGAGCAACGCCGCGUGAGUGAAGAAGGUUUUCGGAUCGUAAAACUCUGUUGUAAGGGAAGAACACGUACGAGAGUAACUGCUCGUACCUUGACGGUACCUUAUUAGAAAGCCACGGCUAACUACGUG